rnacentral:rRNA from 1 species
UGGGGAAUAUUGCACAAUGGAGGGAACUCUGAUGCAGCAACGCCGCGUGCGGGAUGACGGCCUUCGGGUUGUAAACCGCUUUCAGCCAUGACGAAGCUUUUGUGACGGUAGUGGUAGAAGAAGCACCGGCUAACUACGUGCCAGCAGCCGCGGUGAUACGUAGGGUGCGAGCGUUGUCCGGAAUUAUUGGGCGUAAAGAGCUUGUAGGCGGUUUGUCGCGUCGAUAGUGUAAACACGCAGCUUAACUGUGUGCCUGCUGUCGAUACGGGCUGACUAGAGGAGGGUAGGGGGGAAUGGAAUUCCCGGUGGAGCGGUGGAAUGCGCAGAUAUCGGGGGGAACACCAGUGGCGAAGGCGGUUCUCUGGACCUUUCCUGACGCUGAGAAGCGAAAGCGUGGGUAGCAAACAGG